AACGAACGCUGGCGGCAGGCUUAACACAUGCAAGUCGAGCGCCCCGCAAGGGGAGCGGCAGACGGGUGAGUAACGCGUGGGAAUCUACCCAUCUCUACGGAAUAACGGAUGGAAACGUGUGCUAAUACCGUAUACGUCCUUCGGGAGAAAGAUGUAUCGGAGAUGGAUGAGCCCGCGUUGGAUUAGCUAGUUGGUGGGGUAAAGGCCUACCAAGGCGACGAUCCAUAGCUGGUCUGAGAGGAUGAUCAGCUACACUGGGACUGAGACACGGCCCAGACUCCUACGGGAGGCAGCAGUGGGGAAUAUUGGACAAUGGGCGCAAGCCUGAUCCAGCCAUGCCGCGUGAGUGAUGAAGGCCCUAGGGUUGUAAAGCUCUUUCACCGGUGAAGAUAAUGACGGUAACCGGAGAAGAAGCCCCGGCUAACUUCGUGCCAGCCGCCGCCGUAACAC
rnacentral:rRNA from 1 species